GGUUAAGCGACUAAGCGUACACGGUGGAUGCCCUGGCAGUCAGAGGCGAUGAAGGACGUGCUAAUCUGCGAAAAGCGCCGGCGAGGUGAUAUGAACCUUUGACCCGGCGAUGUCCGAAUGGGGAAACCCAGUGUGAUUCGUCACACUAUCGUUAACUGAAUACAUAGGUUAACGAGGCGAACCGGGGGAACUGAAACAUCUAAGUACCCCGAGGAAAAGAAAUCAACCGAGAUUCCCCCAGUAGCGGCGAGCGAACGGGGAGCAGCCCGGAGUCUGAAUCAGCUUGUGUGUUAGUGGAACGGUCUGGAAAGUCCGACGGUACAGGGUGAUAGUCCCGUACACGAAAAUGCACAGGUUGUGAACUCGAAGAGUAGGGCGGGACACGUGGUAUCCUGUCUGAAUAUGGGGGGACCAUCCUCCAAGGCUAAAUACUCCUGACUGACCGAUAGUGAACCAGUACCGUGAGGGAAAGGCGAAAAGAACCCCGGCGAGGGGAGUGAAAAAGAACCUGAAACCGUGUACGUACAAGCAGUGGGAGCCUACUUGUUAGGUGACUGCGUACCUUUUGUAUAAUGGGUCAGCGACUUAU
rnacentral:rRNA from 1 species